CAGUAGCCGCGGUAAUACGGAGGAUCCAAGCGUUAUCCGGAAUCAUUGGGUUUAAAGGGUCCGUAGGCGGUCUUGUAAGUCAGUGGUGAAAGCCCAUCGCUCAACGGUGGAACGGCCAUUGAUACUGCAGGACUUGAAUUAUUGGGAAGUAACUAGAAUAUGUAGUGUAGCGGUGAAAUGCUUAGAGAUUACAUGGAAUACCAAUUGCGAAGGCAGGUUACUACCAAUUGAUUGACGCUGAUGGACAAAAGCGUGGGUAGCGAACAGGAUUAGAUACCCCGGUAGUCCCUGUCUCUUAUAC
rnacentral:rRNA from 1 species